rnacentral:lncRNA from 1 species
GUUACACUGUCAUGGGAACAACAGGUAAAGGUUCUAUUCCUUAGUGACAACAGGCUGCUUCAUUAUCUCUCCUUUUUAUGUUCUAAGGGCAAAAAUAUUCAGGGUCUGCAGGGUAAAAACUAUGGAAGCAUAAACAAGGAAAACCUGACUCUCCCUCACAACUGCAUGUCCUACUAAAAGGUAAAAGGACACUUUGGGGUUGUCUCGGGUGAAAACUGCUGGAAGGAAAAAGCCUGAGAAAGCCGCUGACAGCACCAGUGCUUUGCAUCUCUGGACAAAUUCCUUUCCCUCUAUCAAUACGUUUUAUUUUUUCACGGAGGGGAGGGGACUCAUUUUGCCAAGAAUUUAUUGUGCAUCGUUUCUGAUUCAGCAGGUCUACCGUCGAAACCAGGAAUUAGCAGCUUUAACAAGUGCCACAAGUGAUCGGAUGCCGGUGGUCCCAGGACCACACCUCGAGAAAGCCCCGCAGAGAGAUGAGUGCAUGGAAAGAGCCAACUGAGAGGUGAAGCUUAAACAAAUGUGAGGCAGAAAAAUGUAUUAAUGCGGCACUAAUGAGAAGACGGAAUCAAACUCCCUGCAAAUACACACACACACACACACACACACACACACACACACACAC